ACUAGUUUUAUCAGACAAGUCUUCAACACACACAGUCCUCUGCUCACCUGUAAAAUACUCUACUUCCCGCUCCAGCUCCUGGAAAAUUUUGUCUGCUUCGGCUUUGCCAAACAGGACUGUGUAAUCACAGUUCAGACCCUCAGCUCGGAUGUGCUGCCAGCUGGGGACGGCCAGGUGGUCUGUGCUCCUCGACAUCUCUGCCCUCGGCCGUUUCCUGCCACUCUCCUGGUCUCCUUGUUGGCCUGCUGGGCCUUCUCCGCUCGCUUCUCGCUUCCUCUUUCCCACAGGGUGCCCUAAAGCCCCCUUCACCAGGAAUCUGUCCAUCCUGUCUCCACAAAGCAAAGACCUGGGCGCCGGAGGCAGGGUGGAGAGAGAGAUUACCCAGGCUCCGACCCAGAUCCAAAAAUCGGCUUGGUGGCUAAGAGGUCCCACUGCAUUCCUCUGUGGUGUUUUCAAGUUCCCACUUUCAACAUCAAGUCCUAGAACAGAAGUAGAGGAUGAUGAAGUUGUAAGGAUCCCUCAGGACCUCCUGGGUCUCCCACACCUGGCCAUACAUGCAUCACAAUCAGCUGGCCAUCUUGCAAAACUCCAAAUGCCUGCAUUCCACCCCAAGCACCUGACCUUUUAAAGAAAGCCAACCCUGAGCCACCUGGAGGGGAGAAGGAGUUUGCCCAAUGUCACUCAGAAAAGCAGAUUCCCUGCCUCCUUUUCACCAAGUAGUGACCGGCCCUCCCCCGCCAGUACCCGCUUCGGUAAGUAUAGCGAUUCUCAAAUGGCUAGGAUUCAGAAUCUGAGUGAACUGUUUUAACAGUUCAACGCAGUACCCGCAAGCCCAACUCCAAUAGAAGAAAAAGAAUUGCGGCCCGUGCGAAGGGCGAGGGCUCUCUUAGAAAGUCCAGGGAGCAUCCGCGCCGCCCCGACCCCCGAAAACACCGGAGGCAGGGCUGUCGGGAACGGGACGACACCUGGGCGGCGGCACAGCUUCCGGGCGGAUUUCGGGGCUGGCUGGGAAAUGUAGGCUCUUAGCAAAACAGCCUGGUGGGCGGCCUCCUGGCGCCACCUGUUGGCCUUCCGGGUGCACUGCAUGCACUGCCGGGUUUCAGCCUGGACUGUGCCGGCUGAGGAGCCUCUGUGGUCUGGGACCAGCUGUUGGGUGUCACCUCUCUCCAGGGAGCCACUGAGCAUCCAGACAGGGUUGGGCCACCAGUGGAAUGAACGCUGUGCGAUUGGGGGCCUCUUCUAGAAUCUUCUUAGCGCCCAGUUCGGCAGAUCUUGACAAAAGCACACGGUUGUGUGACCACCACCACGAUGAAGCUCCAGGACGGCUGUCACCCCACAAAGCUCCCCCCAAGCCUUUUGCUCAGGCAGCUCCCUUUCCUCCCUGAGCCAACUGCCCCCCCCCCCAGCGCUGAGGUGUUUCCUGUCCCCAUAGUUUUGUCUUUUCCAGAAUUUCUUAUGAAAGCCAUACAAUAAAUAGCCUUUUGUGUCUGGCC